rnacentral:misc_RNA from 1 species
GGAUGAAGAGUUUGCCCAAAGACAACUAGCAGCUUUAGUUGCUUCGAAGGUUUUCUAUCAUUUGGGCGAACAUAAUGACUCAUUAUCCUAUGCCCUUGGAGCUGGCCCUCUUUUUGAUGUUAAUGAGGAAUCUGACUAUGUUCAUACUGUUCUUGCUAAAGCACUGGAUAAAUAUGCGAGUCAUAAGACUAAGGCCGCCGAGUCAAAUGAUGAAGCUGUAAAGGUUGAUCCUAGGUUGGAGGCUAUUGUUGAGAGAAUGCUUGAGAAGUGUAUAGUGGAUCGAAAGUAUCAACAAGCAAUUGGCAUGGCCAUUGAAUGCAGAAGGCUGGAUAAGGUUGCUGAAGCAAUUGUAAGAAGUGAUAAUGUAGAUGCAACUCUAGCAUAUUGCAGUAAUGUCUCCCAUAACUUCGUCAGUCGCAGAGUAUAUCGAAGUGAGGUGCUUCGUCUUCUUGUUGAAGUGUAUGAGGGGACACCGUCUCCAAACUAUUUGAGCAUGUGUCAGUGGCUUAUGUUUUUGGACAAACCAGAGAAUGUAGCAAGCAUAUUAGAGAAGCUUUUACGCUCAGAAAAUAAGGAUGAUGUCCUACUGGCAUUUCAAAUAGCUUUUGAC